UCCUGCAAUAAAAUGGAGCCAUCAGAAAUAAUUCUCAACCCAGCGCACACUUCAUGUUAACCAUACCUGCAGAGAAAUCAGCCUGGACUCUCACCCUCUCAGCGAUCUACCCGCUUUUAAAUGUAAAUACCGAUUGCUUGCCUCCGUAAUGAAUCAGCUGCGCUAAAACAGCGUCUUCCUUAUAUGGGCAACCGGAAGAGUGCAUAAUGGACAUAAUGCCCCGGCUACAUUUAAAUCCAACUUAUAAGUUAGAAAGAGUGGUAAGUUUCAGAAAACUGAACUUCAGUUUUUCUGCUGUUAGAACCACUAAGAUCAGUUGGAACUGUUGCACUUUCUGGCAGUUGAUUGGCAGUUGUUUUCAGUUCAACUGAAGUGCCCUCCGUGUCUGGAAUGAGAGUCCCUGUCUAGUUGUUUUGAACGUGCUGCACUGAGAUCGAUCAGGUUUUUUUUUGUUGUGUUGUUUUUGUUUUUUUGCUUUUUCUUCUCUUCUCCUGGAUUGUUCCUGGAGUGGAUUCCUCUACUGACUUUGAUGGCGAGCCUUCCCACCUGGACUUAGAAAGAUCUGGAUUUCCUCCCAUGUUGAGUGAGACCAGAACCAGGAUUUAAUUUGAUUCAUUUGUCAUCUAAAAGAGAUUAGAGUGCAAACUACCAGGGUGCACCCAAUAGAUUUAAAUUUGAUAUUUAGCACUUGGCCAAGUAUUGUUGUUUUUCUUUUAUGUAUUUAUUGUGUGUAGUUUUAUUUUCUUAAUUGUAUGUCUUGUCAACUUGUGAGUUUAUG